GGGAAGAAGGAUGAGGUUCUUCAAUCUGUUGAAGAUUAAGGUUUACAACUUCGAUUUGGGGAUUUGUGGGCUACUCGAUUUAAGGGUUUCAGAGCCACUCGAUUUCGAUUUGGGGAUUUGUGGGCUACUUGAUUUAAGGGUUUCACGGCUGCUUGGUUUGGGGGUUUUGCUAAGUUUUUCUCUCCUUCUCUGAGCUUUGAUUCGACGCAACCUAGAAGGAGAAGCAAGCAUAGUUCAUGUUCAUACUUGCUCCUCCGAGUAUGGGUUUUGGGAUCAACAACCUAGAAGGAGAAGCAACUGCGAACCCUUUCGAUCUGUUAGGCGAUGACGACAACGACGACUUAAGUCAACUUGCUGCUAUGGUGGUGGUUCCUGCUGCCACCCAGCCCAAGGUGUUUUCAGCGUGAUAUGUCUGCCAAGUUCCCCUCCAAGCCUCUCCCUCCUGCUCAAGCUGGUUGUUUACCAACUUUGGCCACAACACCAGUCUGGAUAGGUCUAUACCAAGCUCUUUCGAAUGUGGUAAAUGAGAUGGGAGACUCAGUGCAAGAGCGAAGUAUGACUUGAGUGACAAUUUCAAUUUGAAGGCUAAUGCUCAGGCAAAGUUUUGUUGGUUUCAUUUUCAGACUACUCUUCCUUUUUGUGUGUGUGUGUGUGUGUGUAUUUUUAGAAAUGUGUAAGUAAUGACCUAACUGACAUUCUUUUCCCUUUCCAGCUUACAAAUGAGCAACAUAUGUCUCAUGGCAUUGUCAAUGUUGAUUACAAGGCCAGAUCACCCAUAACAUACUUAUAUAUUAUGUGUGUCUGUAUUCUGGCAUUAUAGUUAUUUUCUGAUCCUUAUAUAAACUAAAGAAUUGCAAGUGCCUAUGUCUAUUUUAAAUAGAUUCCAACCGUGGAAUGUAUCCAAAUGAAUUAGGAGUGGUAAUGAUACUUGCAUAUCUGCAUGUUCUCUAGGAAUACUUCUAUUGACUAUAUCAGUACCAUAAAAACUAGUACUAAAAUUGGCACCUUUUCAUUGGCAUGUACACUAAUUUGUGGCAACUGUGAUUCUGGAAUUUGGCUAGUCCAUGUGUUUGUGUGUGGGGUAUUUUGCUGCUGAAUUAUGUUAUGUUGUCGUUAUUCAGGGUCUUCUUCAAGUGAAAAAGACUUUGCAGAAAGAUUUGGGGAGAGAACCAAAUAAGGGUGAACUAGCUGAGGCAACAAGUAUGAGUGUGGUUCAAGUGAAAAAACACUUGGAGGUCGGUCGAGCUGCCAUAAACAAAGUCAUCAAGGUAUGUAUUUACUUACAUAUUAGUUUUACUAAUUUGGCUUCAAAUGUGAAGAAGAGAAACUAACCGGUGAUUGUUAUUUUCACCUAUUGCAGCA